GAAUUGAUCUGGUCAGGAUGAACGCUAGCGGCAGGCUUAACACAUGCAAGUCGAGGGGCAGCGGGAUGUAGCAAUACAUUGCCGGCGACCGGCGGAUGGGUGCGUAACGCGUAUGCAACCUACCUUAUACAGGGGAAUAACCUUUCGAAAGGGAGACUAACACCCCAUAGUAUUGAUUUAAGGCAUCUUAGAUUAAUUAAAUAUUUAUAGGUAUAAGAUGGGCAUGCGUAUGAUUAGCUAGUUGGUAAGGUAACGGCUUACCAAGGCGACGAUCAUUAGGGGUUCUGAGAGGAAGGUCCCCCACACUGGUACUGAGACACGGACCAGACUCCUACGGGAGGCAGCAGUGAGGAAUAUUGGUCAAUGGGCGCAAGCCUGAACCAGCCAUGCCGCGUGCAGGAAAGACGGCCUUAUGGGUUGUAAACUGCUUUUACAUAAGACUAACCGUAUAUUUGCGAAUAUACCUGAAUGUAUUAUGAGAAUAAGGAUCGGCUAACUCCGUGCCAGCAGCGGC
rnacentral:rRNA from 1 species